rnacentral:lncRNA from 1 species
AAGUCUUGGAACCGGUGGACUUAACCAGGACACCGUUUCCCGUUUCAAGUGCUGAUGAAACGCCGAAAAAUAUUACCGAAAUUUAAACCCUGAAAAUAAAUCAGGCUCGAAUAGAAGCAGCGUUUGGGAAGCGCGAAUUUCAAAAAAGCAUCUGCCAAAAUUCAAAUCUCUUCCUCCGUUCCCCUCUCUCUCUCUCUCUCUCUCU